GUGCUUGCUUCAGCAGCAUAUAUACUAAAAUUGGAAUGAUACAGAGAAAAUUAGAAUGGCCUCUGCAUAAGGAUGACAUAUUUUUAUUGUUGGAUCACUAAAUUGUA